rnacentral:rRNA from 1 species
UACGUAGGGUGUGAGCGUUAAUCGGAAUUACUGGGCGUAAAGCGUGCGCAGGCGGCGCGUUAAGACAGGUGUGAAAGCCCCGAGCUUAACUUGGGAAUUGCGCUUGUGACUGGCGUGCUGGAGUGUGGCAGAGGGAGGUGGAAUUCCACGUGUAGCAGUGAAAUGCGUAGAGAUGUGGAGGAACACCGAUGGCGAAGGCAGCCUCCUGGGCCAGCACUGACGCUCAUGCACGAAAGCGUGGGGAGCAACAGG